rnacentral:rRNA from 1 species
AACUAUAACGGUCCUAAGGUAGCGAAAUUCCUUGUCGGGUAAGUUCCGACCUGCACGAAUGGCGUAACGAUGGCCACACUGUCUCCUCCAGAGACUCAGCGAAGUUGAAAUGUUUGUGAUGAUGCAAUCUCCCCGCGGAAAGACGGAAAGACCCCAUGAACCUUUACUGUAGCUUUACAUUGGACUUUGAACAGAUCUGUGUAGGAUAGGUGGGAGGCUUUGAAGUGGUGCCGCUAGGUGCCAUGGAGCCAACGUUGAAAUACCACCCUGGUGUGUUUGAGGUUCUAACCUUGACCCGUUAUCCGGGUUGGGGACAGUGUAUGGUAGGCAGUUUGACUGGGGCGGUCUCCUCCCAAAGCGUAACGGAGGAGUUCGAAGGUACGCUAGGCACGGUCGGAAAUCGUGCUGAUAGUGCAUUGGCAUAAGCGUGCUUGACUGCGAGACUGACAAGUCGAGCAGGUACGAAAGUAGGACAAAGUGAUCCGGUGGUUCUGUAUGGAAGGGCCAUCGCUCAACGGAUAAAAGGUACUCUGGGGAUAACAGGCUGAUACCGCCCAAGAGUUCAUAUCGACGGCGGUGUUUGGCACCUCGAUGUCGGCUCAUCUCAUCCUGGGGCUGUAGCCGGUCCCAAGGGUAUGGCUGUUCGCCAUUUAAAGAGGUACGUGAGCUGGGUUUAAAACGUCGUGAGACAGUUUGGUCCCUAUCUUCCGUGGGCGCUGCAAGAUUGAGAGAGCCUGCUCCUAGUACGAGAGGACCGGAGUGGACGCACCUCUGGUGUAUCGGUUGUCACGCCAGUGGCAUUGCCGAGUAGCUAAGUGCGGAAGAGAUAACCGCUGAAAGCAUCUAAGCGGGAAACUCGUCUCAAGAUGAGUCUUGCCGGGGCCUUGAGCCCCCUGAAGAGUCGUUCGAGACCAGGACGUUGAUAGGCUGGGUGUGGAAGCGCAGUAAUGCGUUAAGCUAACCAGUACUAAUUGCUCGUGAGGCUUGACCCU